ensembl:snRNA U1 U1 spliceosomal RNA
AUGCUUACCCGGUAGUGAAGAUACCGUGAUCAUGAAGGUGGCUCACCCAGGGCGAAGCUUAACCGUUGCAAUCUGAUUGUGCUAAUCCCUCCGACUUCCCAAUAUGAGAAUUGUGGUUGCAUAAUUUUGGUGAUGGAGGACUGCGUUUGUGCUCUACCCUG